rnacentral:rRNA from 1 species
CAAAACUUCAAAAAUGGUCUCAGUUCGGACUGUAGGCUGCAACUCGCCUACACGAAGUUGGAAUUGCUAGUAAUCGUGGAUCAGCAUGCCACGGUGAAUACGUUCCCGGGUCUUGUACACACCGCCCGUCACACCAUGAGAGUCGGGAACACCCGAAGUCCGUAGCCUAACCGCAAGGGGGGCGCGGCCGAAGGUGGGUUCGAUAAUUGGGGUGAAGUCGUAACAAGGUAUC